UAUUUUUUUACGAGUUCAUCUGCCCAAGAACCGCCCCUCCCGACUACGUUUUCCUUGUGACAAUUCAUAAAUUCAUCUUCCCAAGAUGGCCAUUCAAGCACCCCAAUAUGAUGAUUUCAUGACUCUACAUCGGUUAGGGUUCUCUUGUAUUUUUGCUUUCUUCUCCUAAUUCGAUUCCAUCCCUCCUCUCAUCCGGUUAGAAUUCUCUUCGAAGUAACUACUUGUUUCUUAUAAUCUAGCUUUAUCAGCUACAAUCCCUUCUCUCUAUCCCUGGCGAAAAGGGACGGUGAGUCUUCAAAUCUUCAACGAAACCUUUAUAUAUGUUGCUUCUUCAAAUCGUUACUCCUUACUUUUACUUAUCAAAAUCGACAAUGGUACCGGUUCCAAUCUCAACAUCUCUCAGCGUCAAUUGAAAACUCUCAUAUUUCAUUCUCUGUAUCUCUAGCAAAAUGGCAACGAAUUCGACAAUGAGUCUUCACAUCUUGAAUGAAAUCUCUUCUUUAAAUUGUUACUUCUUACUCACUUAUCGAAAUCGACAGUGGUAGUUUAGGUUACUUCUUACUGUUACUUAUCCAAGUCAAUGGAUGUUGUUCGUUUUCUGGUAGUUCAUGUUGUGUUUUUUUUUCCCGAUUACGUGUUUUUGUUCUAUUUCUCGAAAAUUACUGUUUUUAAACUUUGUUUGCAAUUCAUUGUUGUUGGGUUUACUGUAUUUUACCUUAUUGAUUCCGUUUUCGUUGUAUUUUCUAGGAUGUUCGUUUUCUUUUGAUUUUGGUAUUCCGUUCAGUAUUGGAUCGAAGAGAAGGGGAUUUUCUUUGUCUCUAUUGAUCUCUUAGUAAUAGGAUUUGUGAGUUUGCAAUCGACAAGAAUAAGGGGGAUUUUCCUUGUCUAAAUUGGAAAAGAGGGGAAAGGGAUUUGAGGUCCCAGAAUUAGGUUGAUAAGCUUGGCAAGGAUUCUCUUGUGAACUAAGACAAGAUGUCUUCAAAAUAGUUGGCAGGUGAUUUGACUUCCUUGCAAAUUUGGUGUUUGACACACUGUGUUUGAAAGGGACCAUCACUUAAGAAGAGGACUUACAGUUUCACUUUCCAGGUUUUAAGCAAUCUAGGUUCAUCCAGGUUCGGAAAGAGCUUUUUGAUAUCUUAAAAUGAACUCCAAAAAUUCCUUUUAUGUCUUGAAUGUACGCAUGGCAUGCUUACGUUUUACUUAAGAUGUAUCCUGACACAUAAUAGGAGUUAUAAACUCAGUUAUUUAGAGCACCUGAUAUUCCAAUCUACAAUCACCAUAAAAUAGCAUAUUGCAAGAUUUCCACAAGAAGAAUUAUUUAGGUUGA